rnacentral:rRNA from 1 species
GUAGGGGGCGAGCGUUGUCGGAUUUAUUGGGCGUAAAGAGCUCGUAGGCGGCUCAGCAAGUCGGCCGUGAAAGCCUGAGGGCUCAACCUCAGGACGCCGGUCGAAACUGCUGUGGCUAGGGUCCCGGUAGAGGAGAGUGGAAUUCCCGGUGUAGCGGUGAAAUGCGCAGAUAUCGGGAGGAACACCAGUAGCGAAGGCGGCUCUCUGGGCCGGCACCGACGCUGAGGAGCGAAAGCUAGGGGAGCAAACAGGAUUAGAUACCCUGGUAGUCCUAGCCGUAAACGUUGGGCACUAGGUGUGGCGGAUUCAUUGACAUCUGCCGUGCCGAAGCUAACGCAUUAAGUGCCCCGCCUGGGGAGUACGGUCGCAAGGCUA